GACGAACGCUGGCGGCGUGCUUAACACAUGCAAGUCGAACGGUGAUGACAGGGCUUGCCUUGCCGGAUCAGUGGCGAACGGGUGAGUAACACGUGAGUAACCUGCCCCAGACUCUGGGAUAACCCCGGGAAACCGGAGCUAAUACCGGAUAUGACCCUUGUACGCAUGUGCUGGGGGGGGAAAGUUUUUCGGUCUGGGAUGGGCUCGCGGCCUAUCAGCUUGUUGGUGAGGUAGUGGCUCACCAAGGCGACGACGGGUAGCCGGCCUGAGAGGGCGACCGGCCACACUGGGACUGAGACACGGCCCAGACUCCUACGGGAGGCAGCAUUGGGGAAUAUUGCACAAUGGGCGAAAGCCUGAUGCAGCGACGCCGCGUGAGGGAUGACGGCCUUCGGGUUGUAAACCUCUUUCAGCAGGGAAGAAGCGGAAGUGACGGUACCUGCAGAAGAAGCACCGGCUAACUACGUGCCAGCCGCCGCAGUAACAC
rnacentral:rRNA from 1 species